GACGAACGCUGGCGGCGUGCUUAACACAUGCAAGUCGAACGGAAAGGCCCCUUUGGGGGUACUCGAGUGGCGCACGGGUGCGUAACACGUGGGUAACCUGCCCUUGACUUCGGGAUAACUUCAGGAAACUGGGGCUAAUACCGGAUAGGAAUCCUUGCUGCAUGGUGGGGGUUGGAAAGCUUCGGCGGUUUUGGAUGGACUCGCGGCUUAUCAGCUUGUUGGUGGGGUAGUGGCUUACCAAGGCUUUGACGGGUAGCCGGCCUGAGAGGGCGACCGGCCACAUUGGGACUGAGAUACGGCCCAGACUCCUACGGGAGGGAGCAGUGGGGAAUAUUGAACAAUGGGCGGAAGCCUGAUGCAGAAACGCCGCGGGCGGGAUGACGGCCUUCGGGUUGUAAAACGCGUUCAGCAGGGGCGGAGCUUGUGGUGACGGUUCCUGCAGAAGAAGCACCGGCUAACUACGUG
rnacentral:rRNA from 1 species